AUACAGAGGGUGCGAGCGUUAAUCGGAUUUACUGGGCGUAAAGCGUGCGUAGGUGGUUGGGUAAGUCAGAUGUGAAAGCCCCGGGCUUAACCUGGGAACUGCAUUUGAUACUGCCUAGCUAGAGUUUGGUAGAGGGAAGUGGAAUUCCAGGUGUAGCGGUGAAAUGCGUAGAUAUCUGGAGGAACACCAGUGGCGAAAGCGGCUUCCUGGACCGAAACUGACACUGAGGCACGAAAGCGUGGGGAGCAAACAGGAUUAGAAACCCCGGUAGUCC
rnacentral:rRNA from 1 species